CCGGACACAGGACUCGCCUCGCAGGAUGAGUUUACGAGGUGUAAAUGCUGGAUAAGAGUUAUGAAGGGAAAGAAAAGUAAGACAAAAACAAUGUGCUACAUUUAAUGCCUGACUUUAGCUUCCCGACUGCUUGCCUUUUAUAAAAGGUGGUGUCUCACAGCUGGAAAUUCCUAGAACCCUCCUGUCAUAAAAAGGUAGAAAGACAUGGCCAGAAGAGUUGCUGAAGGUUAUUUCUGUACUCAAAGAUGGAAUUGAAGAGUUCCUAGUGCAUGUAAAAGUGAAGACCAAGCUGGACAGAAAGAGGACAGAAUAGAUGGUGAGCUGUUAAAUCUGAAUUCCACCCUGUUGCUAUUGCCAGUGCGUCAGAGAGGCUCAUCCCAUGGUGUGUGACAGAAGGACUGCUGGCAGAGAAUGAGACACAAUAAAGUCCCUGAUGCAGGAUAACUCGACUUGGCAACAACCAAGACAUGAGUAAGUUAUUCUUGUGUUGAAUCCACAACACAGCACUGUGCCAGCUACUGAGAAGAAAUCUACUCUAUUCCAGCCAAAAUCAGGACACACUGGUGUUUAUUCAAAUCAGAUUGUGUUCUUAUACUCUGACCCCUCUCUAUGUCCAUUUAUACUAGCCAAAAUUACAGUCAUAUGCUGUUUUGGAUGUCUUUUCCAUGUUUUAAACAUAUUUUUAAUAGGACACCCUCAGCAAAACUAAAGAGGACUUUCAGUGAAAUUCCUUUCUCAGUCUGGUCCUGCAACUAAGAUUUCUUCCCCAUGAAACUUUAAUUGCUCGUAAACAAUGGUGCUUUUGGUCCUGCCUUCUUCAUCUGCCCUACUAGAAAAAUAAAUGUUGCCCAAAAGACCAAAUAAGCCUACUUAUAAUUUAGAGUAAGUGUGGAAAUUAUUCAAAUAUUCGCAUGAAAAAACCUUAGGAAGUAGCAGUGUAGAGAUCCCUCUUCAGCAUACGUGACAUAAAUGUACUGUGAGGGAAAGUGAUCUUCAAAAUAGGUAGGUUAAAAUAAUUUAGAAUAAACCAGUAUUUUUUGUAUGGCCUGAAAGCUGAGAGACAGUAAGAGUGAAACUCUUAACUACAAUCUUGUUAGGCUUCUAAUGGAAGCAUGUCCUUUCCACGUAGAUAAAAUUCUGGACAAAAUUCAAAUUGUAUUUAUAUAUAAUGGAGGUUUGUAGCAAACUGGCUUUGAGCUGAAAAAAAAGCGUAACUUACGAUUGUUAUUUCCACUCCAAAAUAAAUAGCAGCAAUUUCAUGACAAGACAUAUAUGAGAAAAGGAUUGUCUAUUGGCUGUUCCCAGUAUAAAAAUACUGGAAGAAUAAAAUUAAAUUAAUAAAAUAAUUAAGUUAAAAGAUAAUGAGACAAAAGAGACAGUUACUGUUUACUUCAGUCAGUGCUGUCAAGUCUGUGUGUUUCCAAUUUUCCCAUUCAUUGUUUCUUUUCUUGUUACGUAAAGGAUGUCAUCCAGCUGCACGUCUUAACUGAAAAUAGGUAACUGUAUGGAAAAUUACUAGCUUAACUCUGAGCUAAUCACACAAAUGCAUACAUCCCCCUGUGUUGCUGCUUAUUUUUUAUUACAAUGACUAUAAAAAGUUGUAGAAGUGCUACCGUCUGUGUUGGACAGUGGUCUGGCACACACACUGAAAAGAAGAACUCUCUUAUUCUGUGUAUUUUCUUGGUUAGUUGAAACCAGUUCUGGUUUUAAUCCUGUUAUAUGCCUUGAGUCCUUAAUUUUUAACAACAAGGUAGUUAUUUUAUUGCAUUUUCUCUUUUCUU